GUCUGCCUGUUGUUUCAACUUUGAUCUGACCGUACUCAUUGCCUGGCCAUGAGCUGGAUAGAGGCACAAUCUGAGGAUAGUUCCCCAAAUCAUGGCCAGAGGGAGUCAGAAGAGUAAACAAAACAAUGCAGCAGUUUCACAUUGCUCUUCAAAGACAAUAUGGUGAAGAUGACCCAACUGGCAAGGACCAAGAAACGGAAUGGAGGAUGAGAACAACAGCUAUGUAUGCUUUCAGUGGUCAAAUUUGGUGGACGUCUACAAAAUGAUUUUAUGGGGUUAGGAAAUGCAAGUUCUCCAGCCUGUACCUCACAAUUUCACUAUCACUGUUUCUAGAGUUAGCAUUGUCAGCCUAUAAUGAGGUUUGGUCAUAGAAAUGUAUCCAAGACUUCUAAUAUUUCAUCAAUUCCAAUCAAAAUCUUCAAAGAGAUAGAAGUUAAAAAUGAAUUUAAUGUUUAACUGUAACAGCAACAAAUGAUGGGCUCUUCAUUAGAUGUUUGAAGUGAGAGGCUAACAACCAUCAUAUGGAGACUGCAUGCUCUGACUCUGAAAUUUAACCUUAAUAGAAGUUAAGUUGUGCAGUGUAUAGAGAGUUCUAAGUCCUUCUUUGACCCUUUCUGAUUAUAUGUGUUCUUUUUUUUUUUUUUGAAAAUUUUAUUUGGGUUUUCACAAAAACAAAAUACAAAUAAAACAUCUUUUUUGAAACUAGCA
rnacentral:lncRNA from 1 species